rnacentral:rRNA from 1 species
UACAGAGGUCUCAAGCGUUGUUCGGAUUCAUUGGGCGUAAAGCGCACGUAGGCGGCUUUGCAAGUCCCAUGUGAAAGCCCACGGCUUAACCGUGGAAGUGCAUGGGAAACUGCAGAGCUUGAGUACUUAAGAGGAUCGCGGAAUUCCCGGUGUAGAGGUGAAAUUCGUAGAUAUCGGGAGGAACACCAGUGGCGAAGGCGGCGAUCUGGGAAGAUACUGACGCUGAGGUGCGAAAGCGUGGGAGCAAACAGG